rnacentral:rRNA from 1 species
UGGGGAAUAUUGCACAAUGGGCGCAAGCCUGAUGCAGCCAUGCCGCGUGUGUGAAGAAGGCCUUCGGGUUGUAAAGCACUUUCAGCGGGGAGGAAGGCGAUAAGGUUAAUAACCUUGUCGAUUGACGUUACCCGCAGAAGAAGCACCGGCUAACUCCGUGCCAGCAGCCGCGGUAAUACGGAGGGUGCAAGCGUUAAUCGGAAUUACUGGGCGUAAAGCGCACGCAGGCGGUUGAUUGAGUCAGAUGUGAAAUCCCCGGGCUUAACCCGGGAAUUGCAUCUGAUACUGGUCAGCUAGAGUCUUGUAGAGGGGGGUAGAAUUCCAUGUGUAGCGGUGAAAUGCGUAGGGAUGCGGAGGAAUACCGGUGGCGAAGGCGGCCCCCUGGACAAAGACUGACGCUCAGGUGCGAAAGCGUGGGGAGCAAACAGG